GAUGAACGCUAGCGGCAGGCUUAACACAUGCAAGUCGAGGGGUAUAGUAGCAAUACUAGAGACCGGCGCACGGGUGCGUAACGCGUAUGCAACCUACCUUUUACAGAGGGAUAGCCCAGAGAAAUUUGGAUUAAUACCUCAUAGUAUAUGUUUUUCGCAUGUUAGACAUAUUAAAGUUCCAACGGUAAAAGAUGGGCAUGCGUCCUAUUAGCUAGAUGGUAAGGUAACAGCUUACCAUGGCAACGAUAGGUAGGGGUCCUGAGAGGGAGAUCCCCCACACUGGUACUGAGACACGGACCAGACUCCUACGGGAGGCAGCAGUGAGGAAUAUUGGACAAUGGGCGCAAGCCUGAUCCAGCCAUGCCGCGUGCAGGAAGACGGUCCUAUGGAUUGUAAACUGCUUUUGUACGGGAAGAAACACUCCCUCGUGAGGGAGCUUGACGGUACCGUAAGAAUAAGGAUCGGCUAACUCCGUGCCAGCCGCCGCGGUAACAC
rnacentral:rRNA from 1 species